rnacentral:rRNA from 1 species
GAUGAACGCUGGCGGCGUGCCUAAUACAUGCAAGUCGAGCGAACAGAUGAGGAGCUUGCUCCUCUGACGUUAGCGGCGGACGGGUGAGUAACACGUGGAUAACCUACCUAUAAGACUGGGAUAACUUCGGGAAACCGGAGCUAAUACCGGAUAAUAUAUUGAACCGCAUGGUUCAAUAGUGAAAGACGGUGUUUGUGUCACUUAUAGAUGGAUCCGCGCCGCAUUAGCUAGUUGGUAAGGUAACGGCUUACCAAGGCAACGAGGCGUAGCCGACCUGAGAGGGUGAUCGGCCACACUGGAACUGAGACACGGUCCAGACUCCUACGGGAGGCAGCAGUAGGGAAUCUUCCGCAAUGGGCGAAAGCUUGACGGAGCAACGCCGCGUGAGUGAUGAAGGUCUUCGGAUCGUAAAACUCUGUUAUUAGGGAAGAACAAAUGUGUAAGUAACUAUGCACGUCUUGACGGUACCUAAUCAGAAAGCCACGGCUAACUACGUG